UGGGGAAUAUUGCACAAUGGGCGAAAGCCUGAUGCAGCGACGCCGCGUGAGGGAUGACGGCCUUCGGGUUGUAAACCUCUUUCAGUAGGGACGAAGCGCAAGUGACGGUACCUGCAGAAGAAGCACCGGCUAACUACGUGCCAGCAGCCGCGGUAAUACGUAGGGCGCGAGCGUUGUCCGGAAUUACUGGGCGUAAAGAGCUCGUAGGCGGUUUGUCACGUCGUCUGUGAAAGCCUAGGGCUUAACCCUGGACGUGCAGGCGAUACGGGCAGACUUGAGUACGACAGGGGAGACUGGAAUUUCUGGUGUAGCGGUGGAAUGCACAGAUAUCAGGAAGAACACCGAUGGCGAAGGCAGGUCUCUGGGUAGUAACUGACGCUGAGGAGCGAAAGCAUGGGUAGCGAACAGG
rnacentral:rRNA from 1 species